CUUUUGCUGGCGACCGGCGCACGGGUGAGUAACACGUAUCCAACCUGCCCUUUACUCGGGGAUAGCCUUUCGAAAGAAAGAUUAAUACCCGAUAGCAUAAUGAUUCCGCAUGGUUUCAUUAUUAAAGGAUUCCGGUAAAGGAUGGGGAUGCGUUCCAUUAGGUUGUUGGUGAGGUAACGGCUCACCAAGCCUUCGAUGGAUAGGGGUUCUGAGAGGAAGGUCCCCCACAUUGGAACUGAGACACGGCCCAA
rnacentral:rRNA from 1 species